UUCGUAGGUGAACCUGCGGAGGGAUCAUUACACAAUAAACAUAUGAAGGCUGCACCGCCAACAGGCGGCAAGGCUGGAGUAUUUUAUUACCCUUGUCUUUUGCGCACUUGUUGUUUCCUGGGCGGGUUCGCCCGCCUCCAGGACCACAUGAUAAACCUUUUUUAUGCAGUUGCAAUCAGCGUCAGUACAACAAAUGUAAAUCAUUUACAACUUUCAACAACGGAUCUCUUGGUUCUGGCAUCGAUGAAGAACGCAGCGAAAUGCGAUACGUAGUGUGAAUUGCAGAAUUCAGUGAAUCAUCGAAUCUUUGAACGCACAUUGCGCCCUUUGGUAUUCCAAAGGGCAUGCCUGUUCGAGCGUCAUUUGUACCCUCAAGCUUUGCUUGGUGUUGGGCGUUUUUUGUCUUUGGUUUUGUCCAAAGACUCGCCUUAAAACGAUUGGCAGCCGGCCUACUGGUUUCGCAGCGCAGCACAUUUUUGCGCUUGCAAUCAGCAAAAGAGGACGGCACUCCAUCAAGACUCUAUAUCACUUUUGACCUCGGAUCAGGUAGGGAUACCCGCUGAACUUAAGCAUAUCAAUAAGCGGAGG
rnacentral:rRNA from 1 species